AAAGUGCGUGUUGAACAUGCUUUGAUGUGAACAUAUUCAAACUCAAGCGCAGAGUUCAAGUUUAAACUUGGGUGCGCUUUCAUGUUUGAAAUGUUUUAAAAUCAAUCACAGCAGUCAACUACGGUAGUUUUUAACUUUUAUUUCGGUUUCGAUUACAUACUUUACUGCUUCUGUUUAUCGGGGCAAAAAAUCUAAACGGAAGUGAUGACCUUAAGCUGCACCGACAAAAUACGGAAGAUGCAACCGAUGUCCUGGAGAAUUUAGAGGAUUUUUGUUUGUGACCGGUUUAUAGUCGAAAAAUUAACGACAGUACAUGGAUUCCUGAACCUUCUUGCACUCAUGUCAAAUCAGCCGCUGCACUGAGUCCUGAAGACUGGAUGAACGCCGAAAGUUAUUCCAUUUUUGUUUUACAAAUUGGUGACCAAUCAGCUAAGUACCCAUCUUCAAAUGUCCAGCGGCCAUUUAUUCCCUAGGAAGUUUAUGAUGGAUAUUCUGGCAUGAGGAGCGAUCAUGUAGACAUUCUUGCAAAGUAAUGAUCCAGGACGCAGAACGUCUGGAUUCAGCUGUCUGCAAGCAGAAGCCUAACCUACUAACACCGACUGGUUCUGUCGCAUCGGGCCGACGAGUAUCGCUUCGUUUAUAAAUUUUUGCAACGGAUUUUUUUAAAGAAAUUCCCGGUUGGAAAUCAUUUUUCAAAGUACUCUUAUCUGAGUAUAAUAAAAUGAAUAAAUGAAAUAAAGUCGAAAACUUUUAUUUUUCAUUGGCAAUCUAUUCACACUUCAAUGCAGGGAACGAGUACUUCAUUUGAAUACACUUUUAUAACAUCUAUUAUCUAGAUUAAAUUUUGUCCAAUUAGGAUUUAAAGAUUCAAUUACAUAAAAACAUAUCAGAUAAAAAAAUUAAUUGAAAGACAGUGGCAUCAUUUGUCAUAGAUCUAUUCGGAACUUCAACGGCUUGUGGCAUGACAAAUUGUUUGGUCAACUUUUGUCGAUGUUUGUCCCGCUAUUGCGUCACUGUCCAUUUCUGUAUUUUGGGCCGCUGACCGCUAAAGCCUAAUGCAACCAGAAUAGACAUUCUGAUGCAGGAAGUUUCUUUUGGAGGACCGAUUAUCGUUUAAACAUUUCCGUGGUCCACUGUUGAGUUCAGUGCAAUCGCUGUGGACAACUGGGAACGUAUAAACACUCCGAAAGUUACACGCCGGGGCUCGGAGAGGGAACUGGAAUAUCUAAUAUUCCUCAUCGGUUUUGUGUACGAGUUAAAAUUUAUAAACAAAUACCUU